AGUAAGCUUCCCAGGUAAAACAACCCAACAGGUAAUUUGCUGGUUUAUGGCUUAGAUGGUAAAACAUGAAUGUAAAUGAGCUCCAGAGGCCAAUGGAAAAGCAUUGACAGUAGAAAGUCCUUUAAGCCUAUGCCAGGAAAAGUUCCAGAACUCCUGAGCAUGCUGCUACUACUCUGCAUUAAGUUCUCCAAGUGAAUGAUCUUGCACGACUUGGGAAACAAAGUGUUUCCCAUGGGCUGAAGUUGGGGAAAAGGAAAC